AAAAGUGGGUCGUGAGUCAAAACCGUCGAAGACCACUGUCCUUUAAUGCUUAUUCAUAUAACAAAUAAUAGAUUUUGAUUUUCACAGUAUUCAUAGUUUUUUUAAGUUCUUAAUACCGACUGCGACUUUUUCACCGAAUACAACGUAUUCUCGUCUAGUGGAAUUUGUUUAUUGUACGUAUUGUACCAUACCCAUCCAUAAUCCCGUUCUACGGAUUUUGUCUAUUUGCGUAGACUUUCUUUUAGUUCCCUGUUCAUUGUUUAUGAGUGGUGUUACUGCGGAGAUUCAAAGAAGGAUGGCAUUGUUGAAAAAAUAUCCACACUACGACGGCACAAUCCACCCAGCCUUUCAUUGAUACAGACCUAUCCGAAAUUAUCUUAUUUUUUUUCCGCAUCGAAAAAGACCGCGUGAAACGAAUUUUGUGAUGUUACAUAGGACUCGUGCCGUGCGGCAAAACUUGCCUUGUGUAGGCCCGACAUUGUAUUCUGUUGUGAAUAAAAUGUAAAUUGGCCCACGCCGCAAAAUAUACGAUAUAUUAAACGGUUAUUGACAUUGGAAACACAAAAUGACGGUGAUCUGAUCCAUCAUAAUUCGAAGUAUUAAUAUUAUUUUAUCGUCGCGUAUAUUUUUAUUUUCAUACGACAGAUAAGUCGCGGUAGUGCCUUAACAAGUCGGUUUAAUGAAACAUUGUCUUAUACACGUAAAAACCUUAUAUGAUAGACACACGCUGCAGAAAGAUGGUACUAUCAUGUGCUUUUGGAACCUGGUGACCAUGGGGCCCCGACGGCAAUGGCAGCGG